rnacentral:rRNA from 1 species
AGCGAACGCUGGCGGCAUGCCUAACACAUGCAAGUCGCACGGGGGGGCUUCGGCCUCCCAGUGGCGGACGGGUGAGGAACGCGUAGGGACCUGUCGAGGGGUGGGGGAUAACCGCGGGAAACUGCGGCUAAUACCGCAUGACGCCGCGGCGUGACAGCCGGGGCCAAAGGCGAAAGCCGCCCGCCGAGGGGCCUGCGUCCGAUUAGCUGGUUGGCGGGGUAGCGGCCCACCAAGGCGUCGAUCGGUGGCUGGUCUGAGAGGGUGAUCAGCCACACCGGGACUGAGACACGGCCCGGACUCCUACGGGAGGCAGCAGUGGGGAAUAUUGGACAAUGGGCGCAAGCCUGAUCCAGCAAUGCCGCGUGGGUGAAGAAGGUCUUCGGAUUGUAAAGCCCUUUCGGCGGGGACGAUGGUGACGGUACCCGCAGAAGAAGCCCCGGCUAACUUCGUG